GCAUAUCAAUAAGCGGAGGAAAAGAAACCAACAGGGAUUGCCCUAGUAACGGCGAGUGAAGCGGCAACAGCUCAAAUUUGAAAUCUGGUCUUCGGGCCCGAGUUGUAAUUUGUAGAGGAAGCUUUUGGCGCGGUACCUUCUGAGUCCCCUGGAACGGGGCGCCAUAGAGGGUGAGAGCCCCGUAUAGUUGGAUACCAAGCCUGUGUAAAGCUCCUUCGACGAGUCGAGUAGUUUGGGAAUGCUGCUCAAAAUGGGAGGUAAAUUUCUUCUAAAGCUAAAUACCGGCCAGAGACCGAUAGCGCACAAGUAGAGUGAUCGAAAGAUGAAAAGCACUUUGAAAAGAGGGUUAAAUAGCACGUGAAAUUGUUGAAAGGGAAGCGCUUGUGACCAGACUUGCGCCGGGCUGAUCAUCCGGUGUUCUCACCGGUGCACUCUGCCCGGCUCAGGCCAGCAUCGGUUCUCGCGGGGGGACAAAGGUCCUGGGAACGUAGCUCCUCCGGGAGUGUUAUAGCCCAGGGCGUAAUGCCCCCGCGGGGACCGAGGUUCGCGCUCUGCAAGGAUG
rnacentral:rRNA from 3 species